rnacentral:tRNA from 1 species
CGGGGCGUAGCGCAGCCCGGUUAGCGCGCCUGCUUUGGGAGCAGGAGGCCGAGAGUUCAAAUCUCUCCGCCCCGACCA